rnacentral:tRNA from 1 species
GCCCGGGUGGCUCAGUCGGUUAAGCAUCUGACUUCAGCUCAGGUCAUGAUCAUAUGGUUCAUGAGUUCGAGCCCCAUGUCGGGCU